CAGCCGCCGCGGUAAUACAGAGGGUGCAAGCGUUAAUCGGAAUUACUGGGCGUAAAGCGCGCGUAGGUGGUUUGUUAAGUUGGAUGUGAAAUCCCCGGGCUCAACCUGGGAACUGCAUCCAAAACUGGCAAGCUAGAGUAUGGUAGAGGGUGGUGGAAUUUCCUGUGUAGCGGUGAAAUGCGUAGAUAUAGGAAGGAACACCAGUGGCGAAGGCGACCACCUGGACUGAUACUGACACUGAGGUGCGAAAGCGUGGGGAGCAAACAGGAUUAGAUACCCCGGUAGUCCCUGUCUCUUAUAA
rnacentral:rRNA from 1 species